CCUACGGGUGGCAGCAGUAGGGAAUUUUCGGCAAUGGGGGGAACCCUGACCGAGCAACGCCGCGUGAACGAAGAAGUUAUUCGUAAUGUAAAGUUCUUUUAACAGGGCAGAAAGAGAACUUUGACGGUACCUGAAGACUAAGCUCCGGCUAACUACGUGCCAGCAGCAGCGGUCAUACGUAGGGAGCGAGCGUUCUCCGGAAUUAUUGGGCGUAAAGGGUGCGUAGAUGGCAUAGUAAGUCUUUUGUAAAUAUGCUGGGCUCAACCCAGUAGAGCAAAAGAUACUGCAAAGCUAGAUUAUGACAGAGGCAAGUGGAACUACAUGUGUAGCGGUAAAAUGCGUUAAUAUAUGUAAGAACACCAGUGGCGAAGGCGGCUUGCUGGGUCGAUACUGACAUUGAGGCACGAAAGCGUGGGGGGCAAACAGGAUUAGAUACCCGGGUAGUC
rnacentral:rRNA from 1 species